UUUAACCAAAAAAAAUGCAUUAAAAAAAAGGAAAUGUUUAAUAAAUUCUUUUCUUCCUUCUUUCCUCACAUUCUAUGAACUAGGUAUUAAAAGUAUGAGCGAGCCCAUUUACAAAUGAGAAAACUAAGGCUCAUAAUCACACAACCACUAAGUGCUGAAGAUGGGUAGAACUGGCCCUCUGUUUGCUUCCUCGUGCUGCUAUCCCCAAACCCAUUAACCUGCACCAGGCACCAGGCACUUUCCACCCAAGCAUCGCAGGGUCCCCGGAGAACGGGAGACAAUGAGUACCCCAGACUCCCACGCAGGGAGGGCGUGGGUCCCGGCGUUUCUGAGGGAGCUUCGGCCAGUCCCAUCGGGGGCUCUGCAGAAACUCGGGCCCAGCCCGGCUGCUGCCACCUACGGCGCGGACCUAAUCCUGUCCCACCUGGACUGAUAAAGCGACCUUCUAACAGCCUCCCUGCUUCAAACCUCUCCCCACUGCAACCCCUCUCUGCUCAGCUGCUAAGGUCUGACGGCGUCAUCUCCCCUUCGCUCAGCAAAUUUCAGGGGCUCCCUAGUCCCUCUAGGAUCAAUGACAAAGUCAGGCCUGUGUUUUAUUGGUACAGCUUUUCUCCUGUCACAGGUCACUUAGACACCUGUCUCAAGCAGGGGAAGUUGCGCCUCGUUCUCAUCGUGGUUUCCUGCCUUGCCUUGGCAGGACAAGACCACAUGACUGGGGGGGCUCAGGCUGGACGUUCCCCACCCUCAGUGUAGAAGAUGUGACACUUGAGGGAAGGAAACAGGGAUUCCCAGGGACACUGUGCCUUCCAGGGAGGGGGGCAGGGGCGCAGGGGCCCUAGGGGGCGAUGGGAGAGCUCUAGGUUUCGGGCCUUGCCCAGUUCUCAGGGCAGUGCAGGGCUUCCUGCUACUCGUGCCACGACCAGCCGGCUUUCGCCAGUUUUCCCCCCGGUUUCUCCUGGGCACAGCUUCUUUUCUGAUACCCUGCAGCCUGCUCAUGCCGAUCUACUCUUCUGGGUAACUCAAAACUGUUAAUUCAGAAACUGGUGUUCCGUGACUGGCAGCUGACAGCAUGGCCCAGAGGUGUUUAAAAGGUGGGUGCAUUUGGGGAAGGACAAGUGGGACUCGUGUCCAGUGCCCUAGAGGAGAGGAGACUGCUCCGAGGAUGGCUGUCCUGGAGGGAGAGAGAGAGCAGAUCUCUGAGCCUCACA